rnacentral:misc_RNA from 1 species
CCUCUUCCCUUACCAGGACCAUGUUCUCCAGAAAAUGUUUGGUUUAGCCUGAUUCUUUGAUUCAAAUCCAUACCCACUCGUGGCAAUGAUGCCAUUCCAAGAUGUCUUUUUUCAAACUUUGAGGUGAAAUCUUUACCUAGAGGAGCGGUGUUAUAGUUUUUCCAGGUUUCACUACCUUGACAUGCAUUCUCCCUAAAAGAAUGUCCAUUUUCAAAUGGUUUAUGGUGCUUCCUGUAUGACCUCGUAAAAACA